rnacentral:rRNA from 1 species
UACGAAGGGGGCGAGCGUUGUUCGGAUUUACUGAGCGUAAAGGGCGCGCAGGCGGCGGAUCAAGUCAGGCGUGAAAGCCCCGGGCUUAACCUGGGAAUUGCAUUUGAUACUCUGGAGCUUGAGUACGGGAGAGGAGAGUGGAAUUCCCAGUGUAGAGGUGAAAUUCGUAGAUAUUGGGAAGAACACCGGUGGCGAAGGCGGCUCUCUGGACCGUAACUGACGCUGAGGCGCGAAAGCGUGGGGAGCAAACAGG